AUGGCGGCUGCAGUCAAAGCAACGGAGGAAAGGUGGAAUGAAAGGAUGUCGGUGGUAGUCAAAGCAACGGAGGAAAGGUGGAAUGAAAGCGUGUCGGCGGAAGUCAAAGCAACGGAGGAAAGGUGGAAUGAAAGGCUGUCGGCGGA